GCAGGAAAGGGAAGGGCAGAGACACAGUGGGUUCUCUUGCCAUUCUGGGCACUAUGCAGGGUGGUGUCUAACCCUCUGUCCCACUGCCAUCUGUAAGGCCCGUCUAAGAAGUGGGUUUUGCACAUUAAGAUUCACCAUGAUUGAAGACAACAAGGAGAACAAAGACCAUUCCUCAGAAAGGGGGAGAGUGACUCUCAUCUUUUCCUUGAAGAAUGAAGUUGGAGGACUCAUAAAAGCACUGAAAAUCUUCCAGGAGAACCACGUGAACCUGUUACAUAUUGAGUCCCGGAAAUCGAAGCGAAGAAACUCAGAAUUUGAGAUUUUUGUGGACUGCGACAUCAACCGAGAACAGCUGAAUGACAUCUUUCCCCUGCUGAAGUCC
rnacentral:lncRNA from 1 species